GGAAUAUUCCACAAUGGGGGGAACCCUGAUGGAGCGACGCCGCGUGAGUGAAGAAGGGCUUCGGCUCGUAAAGCUCUUUUGUCCUUGACGAAUGACCUAUUGGAUAGGUAGAGACGGUAGAGGGCGAAUAAGCCACGGCUAACUACGUGCCAGCAGCCGCGGUAAUACGUAGGUGGCAAGCGUUAUCCGGAUUUAUUGGGCGUAAAGCGAGCGCAGGCGGUUUGAUAAGUCUGAUGUGAAAGCCUUUGGCUUAACCAAAGAAGUGCAUCGGAAACUGUCAGACUUGAGUGCAGAAGAGGACAGUGGAACUCCAUGUGUAGCGGUGGAAUGCGUAGAUAUAUGGAAGAACACCAGUGGCGAAGGCGGCUGUCUGGUCUGCAACUGACGCUGAGGCUCGAAAGCAUGGGUAGCGAACA
rnacentral:rRNA from 1 species